GUAGCAGAAUAGUUUGUUCUUUAAUUGGGAGUUGGUAUGAAAGGUUAAACAAAAAAUAUCUUUUAGGUUAAAUUAAGUAAAUUGAAGUUCAAGUUAAAAUGCUUGAAUAAUAUAAAGGGACGAUAAGACCCUAAAAGCUUGAUUUAUUUUUAAUAAAAUCAAAAUAUAUUGUAAAAUUAUGUUUGAGGUAUAGUUAGCUGGGGAAGUGGUUUUGUAGAAUUAAAAUGGGAUAGUAUUAUAAUUUAAGAUUCAAGAUCUUUAAAAUAAGAAUUGACGUAUGGAGUUACUUUAGGGAUAACAGCGCAAUGGUUUUGGAGAGUUCUUAUUUAUAAAAUUAUGUGUGACCUCGAUGUUGAAUUAAGAAGUCUUAGGGGGGCAGAGAACCUAUAAGAGGGUUUGUUCAACCUUUCAAUUUUU
rnacentral:rRNA from 1 species